rnacentral:lncRNA from 1 species
UCAAAAUAAACUUUCUUUAUUCAUUAAACAUCUCAAACUGUAUAUAACUGCCAGUUACACAUUCAAAACUAUCAACAUAAUUCUAUACAAUAUCUGAUUUGAGAUAAUGUGUUCUUUCACAUAUCCUUCCAUCCUUAUCAUCUGGAUAGCAGAUAGUAUUGCUCUGUAUCGUUAACCUACAAAAAAAAAUUAUUUUUGCAAGACUGAGCUUGAUAGCUCAACAAAUUUAUGCUUCACAUAACACAUAAUAUCAUAACCAAUUCAGAUCUCAUGAUUAGCAUAAUACAUAACAACAUAAUUCAUAUGUUCAGUAUAUCACAUAUCAUCUCAAGGUUAAGUUCCAAAACUCAAUCAAUUUUAGUUAUAAGUUGACUAUCAUAAAUCAACGCACAUAAGCUGUAAUUCAACAUACUUGUAAAUAUUUUAUGUAAUAUCAAGAUCACAUAACACAAAUAAACUGAAAAACUUAUCUUGAUUGGAGAUUAUCGCAAAAUUUAAUAUAGCAUUACUCCACAAUUCCUACACAAUUAUUUUUACAUGCACACACAUAUUAGAUAAUUAAAUGUCACAAAACAUGCAUGUUAUUCACAAAUAAUAAUUAUUAGUUUUAUACAAACUAAUAUUAUUUAUUCUAACUCAAAACGAAUAUUGAUUUUUUUUAGAAACUUAAUUCUUUUUAACCUUUUUAUGACAAAUAAAGGUCCUCACACUUUAGUGUAUAAAUACUUUACACUUUGAAGAUUAAAUCAUCUAUAUUCCACUUUAGGAAUAUCUUUUACCUUUAUUCGCAAAUUCAGGACUUAAAUAGUUAUUAUAUAAUUUUUAUAGUACAAAUUAAAUUUACUAUAUUAUUUCUUGAUUUAAAUAAUUUUAUAGUUGUUAGUCUACUCAUGAGUCAACUCAGACAUAUGUCUCAUAUAUAAUCAAUUUUAUCUUGCUAUCACAAUAGCUUUAUUUUUCGUUUUGCGAAGAACUCGCAAUUAUUCUUUGUACAUAUAUUAAAUAUAUAUACCCUUCUAUAUAAUCUCAGCUCAAAAACCCCAUUUUGAACCUCAAAAAUCUUUAUUACAUCAUUUUUAUGAUUAUUACAACUUCUUAAAGAUUUCAGGUUCUUCGGUGCACCACAAAACCAUAAUAUUAGGUUUACUCUUACUUAAAUAUAAAAUUCAUAUUCAUUUUAUAUUUUCAUUGAAUUAAUUAUGCCCGAGAGGAAGUUUCAUGACAUAUUUUAUCACAUAAUGUCAAAACUUAUUGCUUGGAAAUUUAUUAACUUAACAUUACUAAAAAUCUAGCCCAAACGCGAUCCGGAACGUCGAACGUCAAAACAGCCCGUGUCAGCUAUGUGUUAGCCCAUUUUAAAGUUCUGACAUGUUAUUUCGCUCAUUUUUAAUUCUCAAACCAUUAAUCGAAUACUAUGUAAUUUUGAUAUGUUAUAGAUCUCAUGUCAUAGUAUUUUAUAGUAUUUUAGAAAAAUUUCACACUGCGAAAACAGAUCACAAAAACUAAUCAAAACAUCACAUGAAAAGCUCGCCAGGCGACGGCGUGCGCGCGUUGGUGCAGCGCCCAGCUGCUGCUGUUGUGUCGUUCUGAUUGCCCUACUACCCACUUUGCGAUUUUUCCACACUUUGGUCGUUUAUCGGAAAAUUUCAAAUUUUUAGUAUAUUUUCCGUAUCAUACGAGACUAUUUUUUAAAAAAUAUUAAACUCCCAUUUCGGAUUCGUUAGGCACUUCAAACAAUGCGUACAUCGUACAUUCAUAACAGUUUUCAAUUUUGUUUCAGCUUUACCCUCUUUCGCUAAAACAGUCAUAACUUUUUUGUCUCAAAACAUUUUUGAGCGAUUCUUACGCCCAGGCGAAGCUAACUUCCAGGGCUACAACUUUUAUUCUUUGACAAUUUUUCAAAUUCUAAACCCAGAAUUCCAGAAAACUCAUGCAAGGGACUGGUCAGAAUAUGAUUUCCAGAUUUUGGACAGAUUCGACGCGCUUCCUUUGAACGGUCAUAACUCUUUGCUCCGAAGUUGGAAUUAGUCUAUUCUGGAGUCUAUGGAAACCUUAUUCAGAGUACUAUACUUCCCCAAAAGUCCAGAAUUUUUUUAAUAAUAUAGAUAUUCCCGAAUUUGUCUUUUAAGGCCAGCAGUCCACUAGUUUUUCGGACUUUGACAUGUUUUACUAAAACAUUUACUAUAAACUCGUUUUAGCUUCUUUUCGAUUCCUUCCAAUUGGCCUGAAACUUGCUCAUAUCUUUAGAUUAUACUACAACUUACCAAUUAAAGUUUUACUCUUUCAAAGAUUCUUAUGAUAUAGAACAGAGGGCUAAAAAAUGUGUUCAACAGUUUAUCAUUUAAACUCAACUUGUUUCCCAACUCCAAAACUCAAUUUGAUAUCUAACACAUAACUUUGAUCAAUUCUCAUGUUUUCACAUGAUGUUCUCAUUGGGGUAUUUUGACAAACAUCUUGCCUACAAUGCAUAAAAGUACAAAUUUUAUAUAUAUUGGUACAUGGUUCAACCAUGUAUUUCCAUCCUUAUUACUCCACACAAUCAAUACCACAUCCCAUCACGACAUUUAAUAACCCAACCACAACAGUUCUAUCAUUUUAUGCAUAUAUAUUAACUUAUUUUUAUGAACAUAUGGCUUACCUUGCUUGCUUGAUGUAACUACUUCAAGCUUACAUAAAUUAUAGUUUCAAUCCCUUUAUUGACAACAAUUGAUGCAAUCCUCCUUACACCUUAGUUGCUAAUUACAGCUCAUGGCUCUACUUCUUGGAGGAUUUGGUUUUUUUUCUUUAGUGGCAAUUGAAAGAAUUUCUUUGGGUGAUAGUAGUUUGUCAUAAGAAGAGAUUAAGAGGAAAUUGUUUGGGACGGAAGUGAGGGAGCAGAGGCUGAGUGAUGGUAAGAGUUUUCUUUCUCAAUUUAACAAAUAGCUCUUUCAUAUUACUCAUAAAAU